CUUAUUCGUUUUUUCACAGGGCUUGCCAUUUAUGGUCCAUUGUGAAUAUAUAUGCUGAUGCAAAGUUAUAUGAGAGAGGUUGUGAAGAGCGGGCUCUGAAAAGUUUAAAAUCCACGCGUGUGAUUAUGGGACUCAAAUCACAAAAUGCCAUCUUGUGUUGAAUCUCAGCCUGGCGUCAUGAUUCCAGACUCCUGGAGCUGUGCCUUCAGAGCAGGGAGCAGCACUUUGGCCUUCUUCAUGAAAAUGGACCAAACAGUUCUUCACAGCCUUUCCAAGUCAUCUGUAUAUCUUAACUUUGGCCACAAAGAAAAAAUGGGAAUGAACUGAGGGUAAAACCGUCUUUCAUUUCAUUUCUUUUC
rnacentral:lncRNA from 1 species